rnacentral:lncRNA from 1 species
ACACCUUCUUGUUGCACUUAGAGCGCUUGGGGAUGGCAGCACUGGGUCCGGUGCAGGCAGCUGUGGCUGCAGCAGGAGUGGACUAUUAGUGCGAGACUCACAUGUGAAUUGUGAGGGAAUGCUGUGGGCAACCUUCCUCUAGAGAUGUUUUUUAGAUCCUGAAUUCCAGCAAGACAGCUGACCUCAAAUAGUCUGAAGACCCACUGACCCCUACAGAGGAAUGGAAUCAGCAUGAGAAUACAGUUUCUUCAUCUCCCUGUUCCAUGACUUUGCCCUGUGCCCUUUGAGCAAUCAAGGAUCUCCACACUUUGGCUGAUUCCCAAACCCCUGAAAACCCUAGCCCCAAACUCUGUGGAGACGGAUUUGAGGUUUCCUCCCAUCUCCUGGUUCAGCAUCCCUAGAAAUAAACCUCUUUCACUGCUGC